CUAGCACGUAGUAGCGAGACUGUGGCCCUACCAGUAAAACCUGCUUUAUAGGACUGCACCAGACUAGAUUUUUAUUUGUGCUUUUGUUUUCGUUCACAUCUCUUCUGAGUUUGUUUCUCAGGUCUGGAAGCAGCAGGCAAGUAAUUUUGGCAGAAUCUUUCUCAAUGAGUUUCUAGUUGUUUUAUUGUUUAUUUAGAGUGCAGGGGCGAGUAAUAAUGAAGAAACUGGCACCAAUAGUUAAGAUUCAGCAAAUUUCCUCUCGCAGCUCUGCCAGCUCUUCACCUUCUACGCAGAAUGGAAAGGGAGAAUGCACCAGACACUAGAAGAAACAGAGAUAAAAUAUUUCAGAAUCUAGCUUUUCUUCUGGCUAACAAGGUCCCCACUAUGGUGGAACAAAAACAGAAGUAUGAAAGAGAGGGAGAGAAGUUGCUUUCCUUCAUGGAAUGACAAGGGUGGACUAUAGAAUUCUGAGAAUAUGGAGACCCAAGCACAUUCUUAACUCGCAUCUUUCAUCUAUGCUUGAGAAACAAAAGCUGGAAGAAUUGGCAGUGGAUUUUAACUGUAAGAAAUAUCAAAGUUCUCAAGCUGAAGGUCUAUGGUCAGAGCUGGCUGUAAUUAUCCAAACUGAGGUCCAAGCAGAGAAGCAAGCAUGGGAGUGA
rnacentral:lncRNA from 1 species